UACGUAGGUGGCAAGCGUUGUCCGGAAUUAUUGGGCGUAAAGCGCGCGUAGGUGGUUCCUUAAGUCUGAUGUGAAAGCCCACGGCUCAACCGUGGAAGGUCAUUGGAAACUGGGGAACUUGAGUGCAGAAGAGGAAAGUGGAAUUCCAAGUGUAGCGGUGAAAUGCGUAGAUAUUUGGAGGAACACCAGUGGCGAAGGCGACUUUCUGGUCUGUAACUGACACUGAGGCGCGAAAGCGUGGGGAGCAAACAGG
rnacentral:rRNA from 1 species